rnacentral:misc_RNA from 1 species
UCCGUGUUAACCACGGCAGUCUCUUUAGAGUGCCCAACUGAAUGCUGGCAACUAAAGACAAGGGUUGCGCUCGUUGCGGGACUUAACCCAACAUGUCACCACACGAGCUGACGACAGCCAUGCAGCACCUGUCUCUCGGUCGUAUUGCUACGAAAGCCGUAUCUCUACGGAUGUCCGAGGAUGUCAAACCCAGGUAAGGUUUUUCGCGUUGCUUCGAAUUAAACCACAUGAUCCACCGCUUGUGCGGGCCCCCGUCAAUUCCUUUGAGUUUUAGUCUUGCGACCGUACUUCCCAGGCGGGAUACUUAUUGCGUUAGCUCCGACUCGGCAGGGGUCAAGACCCGCCAAGUCUAGUAUCCAUCGUUUACGGCGUGGACUAC